GACGAACGCUGGCGGCGUGCUUAACACAUGCAAGUCGUACGGUAAGGCCCUUUCGGGGGUACACGAGUGGCGAACGGGUGAGUAACACGUGAGUAACCUGCCCACAACUUUGGGAUAACGCUAGGAAACUGGUGCUAAUACUGGAUAUGUGCUCCUGCUGCAUGGUGGGGGUUGGAAAGCUCCGGCGGUUGUGGAUGGACUCGCGGCCUAUCAACUUGUUGGUGGGGUAGUGGCCUACCAAGGCGGCGACGGGUAGCCGGCCUGAGAGGGUGACCGGCCACAUUGGGACUGAGAUACGGCCCAGACUCCUACGGGAGGCAGCAGUGGGGAAUAUUGCACAAUGGGCGCAAGCCUGAUGCAGCAACGCCGCGUGCGGGAUGACGGCCUUCGGGUUGUAAACCGCUUUCAGCAGGGACGAAGCUUUUUGUGACGGUACCUGCAGAAGAAGCACCGGCUAACUACGUG
rnacentral:rRNA from 1 species